rnacentral:rRNA from 1 species
CCCUUAGAUGUCCUGGGCUGCACGCGCGCUACACUGACGCAUGCAACGAGUUAUCCUGCCUCGAUAGAGGUGGGUAAUCUUAUAAAAUGCGUCGUGAUGGGGAUAGAUUAUUGUAAUUAUUAAUCUUCAACGAGGAAUUCCUGGUAAGUGUAGUUCAUCAGACUACGCUGAUUACGUCCCUGCCCAUUGUACACACCGCCCGUCGCUCCUACCGAUUGGGUGAUCCGGUGAAUACUUUGGACUACAAUAGUGAUGCAUAGCAUCAUCUACUGUAGGAAAUUGUAUGAACCUUAUCACUUAGAGGAAGGAGAAGUCGUAACA